CUUAUAAAACUGAUAAAAUCAUUUAAAUUGUUCAUUGUUUGACAACAAGAGUGUGAGUUCGAAAGUGUAACUUCAAUUAAUUCGUUUCGUACUCAGACAUUGCUGGCCAAGAAUCAUAUUGAAUGGUAAAUUCAGAACUAAUGCCAUUUAUCACUAUCGACUCUUACGUUGCAAAGUAGAUCUUUUGUGAUGAAUUCAACUUGGUCUUACAUCCCUUGAUGAAAUCAGGGAAUACACCAGGCAGUAGUUACACAACGUGGCAAUUUAAUUUUAAAUUUAAUUUACACCCUUUUUGUAAUAAGACAUGUACGUUUUAUUGUUGCUAGUGAAGACAUGUAUGCACAGAAUAGUAUAGACAUGCUACAAAAUAGUGAUAUACAGUUCAAGAAACAUGGAGAGGAAGGCAUCGACCCUUUAAAGUUUGCAGAACUAUUGAUGACAUCGGGAAUUAUUCUUGUUGAUGGCAUAAAAUGGUUGUCAUUUCAUUCUGGUUACGACUUUGAUUAUUUACUGAAACUCACUGAUCAAAAAUUGCCAGGAAGAAAGUGAAUUUUUCAAAUUCCUUAGGAAAUACUUUCCAACAAUAUAUGAUGUAAAAUACCUCAUAAAAUCAUGCAAGACACAUGUUACAAAAUAGUAGUAUAUAGUUCAAGAGACAUGAAGGCAUCGAUUUAGAGUUUGCAGAGCUAUUGACAUUGGAAAUUAUUCUUCGGAAAUUUCAUAGAUGACAUAUCGGAGAAACACAACAAAUUUAAAUGUUACAAGAUGGGUUUGAAAACAUGCUUGUUAUUUCUUCUCGCUGCCUUCAGCAUACUCUCUCUAAUACAUGCGACAACAGCAAACCCACGAAAUAAAAUAAUCAUUUACAAACCAUGGUGGUGCGAUUAUGAUUAUGACAUGGGUCCUUGCACUCACUUUCAAGCGAAAUAUUAUUACGACAAAGUAAAAAAUGAAUGUAGAAUGUUUGUGUGGGGAGGUUGUAAUGGGAAUGCUAACAAAUUCGAUGACGAACGCUUGUGCCGAAAAGUUUGCCUUCUGCCGAAAAAUGCACCUCCAAACGGUUUUUAAAUGAAAAUACAAUGCGCAGGCUCUGUGUACGGUUAUAAAGGGAAGAUUUCGGAAUCGACGAAGAAUCGAUCGCGAUCCUCCAUGCUGUUGUUCUUUGGCCAACUACAGUAACAGACGUCUCUUGAACUCGCGAUUUCCUUAUGCAUAUACGAUUAGGUGAGGAAUUUAACCAUAUUGAACUCGAUUCUUCUUGGGAAGAGAAAUCUAUUGGAACUUGAGAAGGAGAUAUUAUAUUGGUCAAACAUAACUGCUAGAAAUUCAAUCAAGACAACGCGUAAGAAGAUGGGUGCCAAAACAUACUUGUUAUUCGUACUUGUUAUCUUCAGCAUGUUGACACAGAAGUUAUUAGCCCAACUCUUACCAGAUCUUUGUCUCAAGGAUAUUGAUCUUGGUGAUUGCACCCAUGAGUACCCAAGAUGGUGGUUUAAUAAAACUUCGGGAAAUUGUGAAACUUUUCAUUAUAGUGGUUGCGGAGGAAAUGACAAUAAUUUUAUAGAAUAUGGAGAUUGCUGUAA
rnacentral:lncRNA from 1 species